rnacentral:misc_RNA from 1 species
UCGUAACAAGGUCUCCGUAGGUGAACCUGCGGAGGGAUCAUUACACAAUAAACAUAUGAAGGCUGCACCGCCAACAGGCGGCAAGGCUGGAGUAUUUUAUUACCCUUGUCUUUUGCGCACUUGUUGUUUCCUGGGCGGGUUCGCCCGCCUCCAGGACCACAUGAUAAACCUUUUUUAUGCAGUUGCAAUCAGCGUCAGUACAACAAAUGUAAAUCAUUUACAACUUUCAACAACGGAUCUCUUGGUUCUGGCAUCGAUGAAGAACGCAGCGAAAUGCGAUACGUAGUGUGAAUUGCAGAAUUCAGUGAAUCAUCGAAUCUUUGAACGCACAUUGCGCCCUUUGGUAUUCCAAAGGGCAUGCCUGUUCGAGCGUCAUUUGUACCCUCAAGCUUUGCUUGGUGUUGGGCGUUUUUUGUCUUUGGUUUUGUCCAAAGACUCGCCUUAAAACGAUUGGCAGCCGGCCUACUGGUUUCGCAGCGCAGCACAUUUUUGCGCUUGCAAUCAGCAAAAGAGGACGGCACUCCAUCAAGACUCUAUAUCACUUUUGACCUCGGAUCAGGUAGGGAUACCCGCUGAACUUAAGCAUAUCAAUAAGCGGAGGAA